UGGCGCAAUGGAUAGCGCAUUGG
rnacentral:piRNA from 1 species